GACCAAAUCACAUCAAAACACCAGUUCCCGUACAAUCACCAAAGUUAAGCAAUGUUGAGCCUGGUCAGUACCUAGAUGGGUGACUGCUUGGAAAUACCAAGUGUUGUAAG